rnacentral:rRNA from 1 species
AGUGAACGCUGGCGGUAGGCCUAACACAUGCAAGUCGAACGGCAGCACAGUAAGAGCUUGCUCUUACGGGUGGCGAGUGGCGGACGGGUGAGGAAUACAUCGGAAUCUACUUUUUCGUGGGGGAUAACGUAGGGAAACUUACGCUAAUACCGCAUACGACCUACGGGUGAAAGCAGGGGAUCUUCGGACCUUGCGCGAUUGAAUGAGCCGAUGUCGGAUUAGCUAGUUGGCGGGGUAAAGGCCCACCAAGGCGACGAUCCGUAGCUGGUCUGAGAGGAUGAUCAGCCACACUGGAGCUGAGACACGGUCCAGACUCCUACGGGAGGCAGCAGUGGGGAAUAUUGGACAGAGGGCGCAAGCCUGAUCCAGCCAGACCGCGUGGGUGAAGAAGGCCUUCGGGUUGUAAAGCCCUUUUGUUGGGAAAGAAAAGCAGCAGGUUAAUACCCCGCUGUUCUGACGGUACCCAAAGAAUAAGCACCGGCUAACUUCGUG